GCUCCCGGCCGCCGCGCCUCCCCUCCCCCACCGCAUCGCCGCAUCCCCUCCAGAUCCCACCACGCGGCCGCCCCAUUGUGCAUCGCCGCCCCCCCUCUCUUCCCUUGUGCCCCCCGUCCAGCCCGCGCCAUCAGAGUCCUCUCCCCUGUCGAAUCCGGCUAGGGAUUCAGAUCUCCCCUGCGCGCCGAAGAAGCCGGCCGCUGCGACGCUCCUCGCACGGGCCCAACCCCCUGACCAUCUUGGCCUCAGUGGCCCUCCAUUCAUCUUCCUUCCUCGAUCCAGCAGGCUGCGGGCCGUCCUUCCCGGUGAGAUUCCAUGGGCUGCAAGUCGUCCCUCCCCACCAUGAGGUCGGAUAUCAAGCAAACCGGGGCGGGAGGGGUGGGGGAAGGGUGCAGGUGGCUCCUCUUUCAUCCACUCCCAGCAGAGGUCUCCAAUGAGCACGGCGAACUCGAACGCAUCCGCUGGCAGGUAAAAAGUGUCGCGCCAUUCUCCCCGAGCUUAACCAAGAAUCUAUGGGUGCCUACCCCCGGUGCUCCUUCGUCGUCACCGAGCAGACCACAUAGCCGGUAGGUGCAGCUCCAACGAUCUCAUGGCUACAAGUGGCGUGGUGGGUUUUUUGUGUGGCAGGAGUCCACCGGUCAACGGCGCAAGGUCCACCGACGAGCAGUGCUCGGUUCGUUGUGUGGUGGACCUCCUCGGGCGGGCGGGUUGACUGCCAGGACCAUGUCCGGUAGGCGAUGAAGUUGUGCACAGUUCAUUGGUGGCGCCCAGUAGUUAGGCUCAGGGUGCACUGCAGUUUGCUGCACGUGCGCGUGUAGCAAGCGAGUGCACAGGAAGCCGCCGCAUAUGCAUGUUCUGUUGAAGGUCAUUUUUUGUUCAAAUGCAGUUCUGCUGGCUGCUAGUGCCUAAUUUCGUGUGUAUGCAUGUAUGUGUGUGACCGUAAAAACAAUGAACAGAGUAUGUGUGCGCAGUUUGGUUAGCUCGGUCGUGCAUUACUUUUGUUUUGUUUUGUGCGGUUCGCUGUGUGUGCCUAUGUAAAACAAUGAGAUAGAUGUGUUUGCUUUGAAAACUCACGUUGUUCCCUCAUGUGGUUAGCUAUAAAAACUCCUCACAAG
rnacentral:rRNA from 1 species